AUUGAACGCUGGCGGCACGCCUAACACAUGCAAGUCGAACGGCAGCACGGAGUGUAGCAAUACACUCUGGUGGCGAGUGGCGGACGGGUGAGUAAUACGUAGGAACCUAUCCUCAAGAGGGGGACAACCAAGGGAAACUUUGGCUAAUACCGCAUAAACUCUUCGGAGGAAAGUUGCCCGCAAGGGUGACGUUUGAGGCAGGGCCUGCGUCCGAUUAGCUAGUUGGUGGGGUAAAAGCCUACCAAGGCGAUGAUCGGUAACUGGUCUGAGAGGACGACCAGUCACACUGGGACUGAGACACGGCCCAGACUCCUACGGGAGGCAGCAGUGGGGAAUAUUGGACAAUGGGGGCAACCCUGAUCCAGCGAUGCCGCGUGGGUGAAGAAGGCCUUCGGGUUGUAAAGCCCUUUAGGUUGGGAAGAAGAUUGCGUGAGUAUAAUGCACGCAUGAUGACGGUACCAACAGAAUAAGCACCGGCAAACUCUGUGCCAGCCGCCGCCGCAGUAACAC
rnacentral:rRNA from 1 species